GUCAAAUAUAUUAAAAUUUAUGAUGGAUACCUAGGCAUUUAGAGUCGAUGAAGGGCGUGGAUACCAACGAAAUGCUUCGGUUAGUUGGAAACAAACUUUGAUCCGAAGAUUCCCGAAUAGGAAAACCUAUAUAACUACUUAAUGAAUUCAUAAUUAAGUAAGAGACAACCUGCUGAAUUGAAACAUCUUAGUAAGCAGAGGAAAAGAAAGCAAACGCGAUUUCCUUAGUAGCGGCGAGCGAAAUGGAAAUAGUCUAAUCAUUAAAAAAAAACUAUUAAACGAAGCAGCUGAAUCCUGCACCAUAGAUGGUGAAAGUCCAGUAGUUUAAAAUAGAAAAAAUGAUUAUAAAGUAGCAUGGAACACGUGUAAUUCCGUGUGAAUAUACGAGGACCACCUCGUAAGACUAAAUACUCCUAAAUGACCGAUAGUGAAACAGUACCGUGAGGGAAAGGUGAAAAAGAACCCCUGUAGGGGAGUGAAAAAGAACAUGAAAUCAUAAAUUGACAAUCAGUGGGAGCUAAAGUGACCGCGUGCCUGUUGAAGAAUGAGCCGGCGACUUAUAGGUAGUGGCUUGGUUAAAAUAACUUUUUGGAGCCAAAGCGAAAGCAAGUCUGAUAAGGGCAUAUGUCACUAUUUAUAGACCCGAACCCGAGUGAUCUAACCAUGGCCAGGAUGAAUCUUGGGUAACACCAAGUGGAAGACCGAACCGACUGAUGUUGAAAAAUCAGCGGAUGAGCUGUGGUUAGGGGUGAAAUUCCAGUCGAACUCGGAGCUAGCUGGAUCUCCUCGAAAUGUGUUGAGGCGCAGCGGUUGAUGAUGGGCUAUUUAGGGGUAAAGCACUGUUUCGGUGCGGGCUGCGAAAGCGGUACCAAAUCGUGGCAAACUAAGAAUACUAAAUAUGCUUUCCAUCAACCAGUAAGACAGUGGGGGAUAAGCUUCAUUGUCAAAAGGGAAACAGCCCAGAUCACCAGUUAAGGCCCCAAAGUGAUGGCUAAGUGAUAAAGGAAGUAAAAAGGCGAAGACAACCAGAAGGUUUGCUUAGAAGCAGCCAUCCUUGAAAGAGUGCGUAAUAGCUCACUGGUAGAGCCUUUUUGCGCCGAAAAUGAACGGGGCUAAGUCAUCCGCCGAAACUGUGGGUUACAGUUUUUUAACUGUUACGGUAGAGGAGCGUUCCGUUAUAGGGUGAAGUUAAAAUGUGAAUUUUAAUGGACGAAACGGAAGUGAGAAUGUCGGCUUGAGUAACGAAAACAUUGGUGAGAAUCCAAUGCCCCGAAAACCUAAGGGUUCCUUCACAAGGUUCGUCCAUGGAGGGUUAGUCAGGGCCUAAGGCGAGAUCGAAAGGUGUAGUCGAUGGAAAACAGGUUAAUAUUCCUGUACUUGAUUUAAUUUGAUAAAGAGGGACGGAGAAGGCGGUAACUAGCUAGAUAUUGGUAUUCUAGUAGAAGUAUUGAAUUCUUAAAAGAAUGAAAAAAAACUUUCUUUAGAAAACAUGCGACCUAACUAGAGCUUUAUUUAUAUAGAGUUUUGGUUUAGUUUUAGUCAUACUUCCAAGAAAAGCUUUUAUUAUCAUUAAAUUAAAUCAACCUGUACCCUAAACUGACACAAGUAGGUAGGUAGAGAAUACUAAGGGGCGCGAGAUAACUCUCUCUAAGGAACUCGGCAAAAUGGCCCCGUAACUUCGGGAGAAGGGGUGCCUAUAUUAAUAUAGGCCGCAGUGACCAGGCCCAGGCGACUGUUUAUCAAAAACACAGGUCUCCGCAAAGUCGUAAGACAAUGUAUGGGGGCUGACGUCUGCCCAGUGCCGGAAGGUAAAAGAAGUUGGUUAUUCCUCGGAAAAAGCUGACGACUGAAGCCCCGGUGAACGGCGGCUGUAACUCUGACAGUCCUAAGGUAGCGAAAUUCCUUGUCGAGUAAGUUUCGACCCGCACGAAAGACGUAACGAUCUGGGCACUGUCUCGGAGAGAGACUCGGUGAAAUAGAAAUGUCUGUGAAGAUGCGGACUACUUAUACCAGGACAGAAAGACCCUAUGAAGCUUGACUGUAAUUUGGAAUUGGGUUCGGGCUUUUUUUGCGCAGUCUAGGUGGGAGGCGUUGAUAUUAAGUUUUCGGACUUAAUGGAGCCAUUAGUGAGAGACCACUCUAAAAGAGCUAGAAUUCUAAUAGGAUUCCUUGAAUCAGGAUCCUUGACAGUUUCAGAUGGACAGUUUGACUGGGGCGGUGACCUCCCAAAAGGUAACGGAGGUGUGCAAAGGUUCCCUCAAGCUGGACGGAAAUCAGCUGUAGAGUGCAAAGGUAUAAGGGAGCUUGACUGCAAGACCAACAAGUCGAGCAGAGGCGAAAGCCGGCCUUAGUGAUCCGACGGUUCCGAGUGGAAGGGCCGUCGCUCAACGGAUAAAAGUUACUCUAGGGAUAACAGGCUGAUCUCCCCCAAGAGUUCACAUCGACGGGGAGGUUUGGCACCUCGAUGUCGUUUCAUCGCAACCUGGGGCUGUAGUAGGUCCCAAGGGUUGGGCUGUUCGCCCAUAAAAGCGGUACGUGAGAUGGGUUCAGAACGUCGCGAGACAGUUCGGUCCAUAUCCGGUAUAAGCGUAAGAGCAUUGAGAGGAUCUCAACAUUGUACGAGAGGACCCGAAGGGACGUACCGAUGGUGUACCAGUUCUUAUGCCAAUAGGAAACGCUGGGUAGCUAUGUACGGAGUGGAUAAUCGCUGAAAGCAUUUAAGUGAGAAGCCCACCUCAAGAUGAAUGCUCUCUAUUAGAUCGCGGCAAGACAAGCCGAUAGAUUGGCAUCAAGUGUAAGAUUAGUAAUAAUUUCAGCUGAGAUGUACAAAGGAUCGAUUGAUUUUGAC
rnacentral:rRNA from 1 species